rfam:Facklamia hominis CCTG 36813 genomic scaffold supercont1.1, whole genome shotgun sequence.
GGUAUUGUUUACCCCACUAAUGAGCCCCGGAAACUCAUAGUAAUUGUAAACAAGAA